CUGAUGAGAUCUUCAGUGUGGGUAUCUUGCAUUUAUGCCACUAAAACUUAUGAAGGAUGGGCAUUCACUUUUUUUUACACCAUCCUUUUCUCAGUGAUUCUUCUCUGGAGGAGGGUGACUGAACUUUCCAAGACAGACUGAACUUUUCUGUUUACCACCAUGAAACAUAACUACAAUGAAGAAGAUGCAGCCUUUAUCUCUCUGCUCUGUAUGAAAUUUGACCUGUGAUUCAUAAGAGGUGAUCCUCACUUUUCUAGUAUGCCCUUCAUGCCCUUCUUCCUGAAGGCUUCCUGCUCAGAGUUUUUUGAUAAGUGAAUGCAUUUUCUAGAUAUGCUUGCUUUCUUUUUUUACUUUCUUUUUUUUUUUUUUUUUUUUUUUUUGUUCCUCCUAUUCCUCUCUCAUUUCUGAAAAGAAGCAAUGAGAUGGAAGAAAUGGACUCUAAAAGAAGCUCAAAGGCAGAGAUUUUGCUGAAUGAUGACAGCAGACCGAAGGAGCCUCCGGAAAUUUUAGGUCAGCAUAGUACUUCUCUGAAAAUAUUCAAAAGUGAAGGAGUUGAGAAUCCGGCCUAAAGUAGGCAAGACCAAGAGCUUUGUGAUUUGCACAAGGAGGCUUCUCUCCUAAUCCAGGUAAGGUAGAAAGGAGG
rnacentral:lncRNA from 1 species